CAGUCGCCGCGGUAAUACGUAGGGUGCAAGCGUUAAUCGGAAUUACUGGGCGUAAAGCGUGCGCAGGCGGUUAUAUAAGACAGAUGUGAAAUCCCCGGGCUCAACCUGGGAACUGCAUUUGUGACUGUAUAGCUAGAGUACGGCAGAGGGGGAUGGAAUUCCGCGUGUAGCAGUGAAAUGCGUAGAUAUGCGGAGGAACACCGAUGGCGAAGGCAAUCCCCUGGGCCUGUACUGACGCUCAUGCACGAAAGCGUGGGGAGCAAACAGGAUUAGAUACCCCCGUAGUCCCUGUCUCUAUACC
rnacentral:rRNA from 1 species